rnacentral:lncRNA from 1 species
UCUUUGAGUUGAGCGACACAAGCCGAAUUGUUUUCAAAUAUUUUCGUCGGCUCUUUUUCGUUGACUAUUUCGCUUAAUUCUUAUAUGUUGUGACUCAUUGACCGAAGCCAAACAUAUUCUCGACAUGCUUUGAAGCAGUCGAAACCUAGGAUCGUUUCUCGGAACGCUAUGUAAUCAUGGUUUCACCAAUUGUAAAACCGUAUCCAGUUUGUGUUCGACUUUAUAAAUAGCAUGUAUCUGCAAAACCAUACCAAACUCGGGUUUUCUAGAAUAAAUCAACCCUAAUUUAAAACAUACCUUGGAGAGAAUGGAAAUAUUCUCGACGCCGUUCUAAUUUCCAUGAAUAGAAAAUGAGUUGUAUCUUGCAAAGACAUUAGUGUCUAAAAGUAUAUUUAAUCAAAUACAACUCGCAAGACAUAUACGCUCACAUAUGCUUUAUUACGAUUAGCAUCUCCAAAGUACUUAUUUAUAUA